AAGAUUAAGCCAUGCAUGUCUAAGUAUAAACAUUUGUACUGUGAAACUGCGGACGGCUCAUUAAAUCAGUUAUAGUUUAUUUGAUAGUAACUACUACUUGGAUAACCGUGGUAAUUCUAGAGCUAAUACAUGCACUGAAAUCCCGACUUCGGAAGGGGUGUAUUUAUUAGAUAAAAACCAAUGCCCCUCGGGGCUCCUUGGUGAUUCAUAAUAACUUAACGAAUCGCAU
rnacentral:rRNA from 1 species